rnacentral:misc_RNA from 1 species
GAUGAAGAACGUAGCGAAAUGCGAUAAGUAAUGUGAAUUGCAGAAUCCAGUGAAUCAUCGAAUCUUUGAACGCACAUUGCGCCCGCCAGCAUUCUGGCGGGCAUGCCUGUUCGAGCGUCAUUUCAACCCUCGACCUCCCCUUGGGGAGGUCGGUGUUGGGGACCGGCAGCACACCGCCGGCCCUGAAAUGGAGUGGCGGCCCGUCUGCGGCGACCUCUGCGUAGUAAUACAGCUCGCACCGGAACCCCGACGCGGCCACGCCGUAAAACACCCAACUUCUGAACGUUGACCUCGAAUCAGGUAGGACUACCCGCUGAACUUAAGCAUAUCAAUAAGCGGAGGA